rnacentral:lncRNA from 1 species
UAAGAUAAGAAGUCUUUUCAACGCCCUACUCUUCUAUUUCAAUUGUGGUUCUUUUGGCUUUCAGGUGCAUCUGAGGGGCAUUUUUUUUGUCAUUUCAUCCGGUUUAUGGUAGUAUAGUGUUAUAUUACACUCCAUCUUUGGGUCCAGUUAUUGAUACAUAUACCCCUCUCUGUCUCUCUCUCUCUCUCUUCAUGCUGUCCAUGCCACCAAAAGACUGAAACAUGUUAUUGACUAUUGAGGGAAGGAUAUUUUUCCUUCUCUGUUAUACAGUAAGCUCGUGUUUGGAAGAUUGCCAUUAUUUUUACUGUACUUCUUAAAUCUUGUUGGUAUAUAUUUGGUUAAGACGUAGUUUUAGUUCUCCGUUUUCAUAAAUCUGUAAUUUUAAUUCAUCUGUUUUUUUAUUUUUUUGUAAAUUCAAUUUUUUUCUUAAUUUUAAUGCGAGAUAAAUAAUUUUGGGUAUCCCUCAUGGUUCUUUUUUGUCAAUGUUCAUGGUUUGUGAUUAGUGGAGGGUGAAUGGUAGGGCUGUGCAAAAAAUCCGGUUAUGAGGCCCAAAUUCAAAAUCGGAUCCAAAUCCAUUUUAAAUAUCCGGUUAAAAUCAUAUGGUUAUAAUCCGGUUUAUUUAAAACCGGUUGGAUAACCACUUAUGUUUUAUAUUUGGAUUUGGUUUUUAACCGGUUUUUAUCCACUACCAAUAUUUUGUUAAUUUUGAGAUUUUAUGUCUUGAAAAAAAUUUGAAUUUUUUUUUUCAAAAAAAUAUCGGAAAAAAUUAAAUAAAAAACACUUUUUUUUUCUCAAAAAAAUUUUAAAUCGAAUUUUUUCUCGAAAAAUUUGGUGAGAAUUUUUUUAAAAAAAUUUAUCGAAAAAAUCGAUUUUUUUAAAUAACCGAUUUUUAAACUAUGAAUAAAUAUUUUUUUUAAAGAUAAUCAAAUUUUAACCGAUUUUGAAAAAGAAAAUCGAUUUUCAAAUUAAAAUUUUCAAAACCGAUUGCUUAAUUAUAAACCGGUUAUUUAACCAUAACCAAUUUUACAAUUGGUUUUAUAACCGGUUUUAAACUAAAUAAUGGAUUUGGUUAUAAAUCUAAAUCCAUAUAUUGGUUUUAAAAUAGAUAUGGUUUGGUUUUUUAAAAAAACCAACCAUAAACAGCCCUAGUGAAUGGCCAUUCAAUUUCUCAAUUUUUUGUUGGAUUGUAACUUCUAUUAUUACAGAAUACAUUAUCGACUUUUAAUUUACAUUAGUGUCUUUGAGGGUGGAAAAACAAAAUCAAGAGACCGAAUGAAGAUAAAAAUAACUGAUCUUAAUGGAGAUUGUUAGUGUUUGGCCCAAAUAACAGUUGGGCUGUGACUUGGGACGAGGGUCGUGCCCUAUGGAGUACAGUUCGGGAUAGUGUUGUAAUUUAUAUUAUAUGCAAUGUUUGUUUGAUAGAUUACAAACCUAUUUCAUAAAUUGAAAACCUUGAGAGUCCUAUAAUUUUAUGGAAAUAAAAGAUAACCAACCAUAAAUUUUCACUUUCAUAUCAUUUUUUAUUUUUUAAAAAUUUAUAAUUUAAAUAUUAAUAAAAGAAAAAUUAUAAUUUAGAAAUAAAUUAAUUUUGAAAAUAUUCUUUGUAAUGUUAGAUUUUCUAAACAAACAUCCACCAUAUUUAAAUACAAAGUAUACACCUAUAAACCCCAAUUUUAAAUCAUAGUAGGCAGGUAAUACAAUUUCUCUAUAAUCAAAGAUGUAAAGAUAAAAUAUCUUAUAUUUUUUCUUUGGCAUUUGUUGUAUUUUAAUUAUAUUGAAUCGAAUUUGUUGUUAUAAAGAAAAUGAAUGCUGCUUUAACUGAAAAUUAGAGAAAUUCUGCCUUUUUGAAUUGUGGUACAGGUAGUUGGCGAUGCUUUGCAUUAAAAUGAAAUUUAGGCCAAAACAGUCGUGGUUACCCAUCAUUCUCUUUUAUGUCAUUUUCAAAACAACAUCAAGGGAAAGACAAAGGGUCAAUCGUAUUUAGGCUGUGUUCCUUCAAAUUAAGUUGUCUUACGGCAUUGUUCAUUGUCCUUCUCUCUUUCAAUGCAGACAAUAGCUGAUGGACCAGAAGGUACAAGAAGACAUACGUGUUCCUCUUUCUUCAUAAUCCAAACAAAAACCCAGCUAAGCGUACGUAUCAUCGAUCCAAAUUUACAAUCUUUGUAACCACAUAAUUUUUAGGCAGUGGGAACCACUAACUGUCACCGAUUGUGAUUCACAAGUCAUACUUUACGCAAAAUACCAGUUCUGAUGUCUUGUGUUUCUGUAUUUUUGUGUAUGUAUGUACAAGUUCGGUGACACACCAUUUAUCAAAGUAGCUACAUCUUUAUUAAAUAUUUUUU